GCUGCUGCGGAGUCGGCGCGAACUGCUGGAGCUUCAUGGCGCCCUGGCUCGCCGGCACGCCGGGGUGCGGCGCGUAGCCCGGGCCGCACAUGUACUGCUGCAUCUGCUGCUGGGCGACAUCGGUAAACAAGAUCAGGACCACCAUUUUCAGGAAGGGAAAGCUGUGAAUAAAAAGGAUGUAUUUGUCAGCUCAACAGCCAAAGUGUUCAAGCUUGGCAUUUAGUUAUGUACAGGGAAGGCAAAACAAGGCAUCACCUUUCCAAGGGUCCUCGGCCUCUUCCUGAUGAUCAGGCUGCUGCUGCUGCUAGGAGUGGUGGCUCUGGUGAGUGAGGAGAGGACUGCAUCGUCGUCGCGGCCUCCGUCGGAA